AUUGAACGCUGGCGGCAGGCCUAACACAUGCAAGUCGAACGGUAACAGGAAGCAGCUUGCUGCUUCGCUGACGAGUGGCGGACGGGUGAGUAAUGUCUGGGAAGCUGCCUGAUGGAGGGGGAUAACUACUGGAAACGGUAGCUAAUACCGCAUAAUGUCGCAAGACCAAAGAGGGGGACCUUCGGGCCUCUUGCCAUCGGAUGUGCCCAGAUGGGAUUAGCUUGUUGGUGGGGUAACGGCUCACCAAGGCGACGAUCCCUAGCUGGUCUGAGAGGAUGACCGCCCACACUGGAACGGAGACACGGUCCAGACUCCUGGGGGAGGCAGCAGGGGGGAAUAUUGCAAAAGGGGGGCAAGCUUGAUGCAGCCAGGCGGGGUGAAUAAGGAAGGCCUUGGGUUUGUAAAGUUCUUUGAGGGGGGGGGAGGGAAAAAAAUUUAAUACUUUUCCUAAUUGACUUUCCCCGAAAAAGAAGCCCCGGCAACCUCCGUG
rnacentral:rRNA from 1 species